CCUCAUGCUAGCCACUUUACAUUGUUGUUUUGCUGGUGGUGGUCUAAAGAUUUCAUUUUUAUAGGCCCUCAAAGCCUAGGAAAAACUUGCUGCGCCACCGAACUAAAGAAGGUGCUGAGAAAACCCACAAGAUGUGCAGUUGCUGCCUGGCUUGAUUGGAUAACUUCGUGUGGUGCUUUCUCACAGUGAGGCCUGGGUUUGUUCUAACAUCUGGAAGAAGUGACAAGCUGCAGUCACCAAAGAUUAUAACGCAGUGGCUACUUGCUUCAGGUAUGUGUUACAUGAACCUGGAAACUCCAAGCACACCUUUACAUUUCAGCAAAUCCAAUGGUUGUGCAA
rnacentral:lncRNA from 1 species